rnacentral:lncRNA from 1 species
GGAACUUGUUAGAAAUGUAGAUUCUUGGGCUCCAACCCAGGCCUACUAAAGUGGAAGCUCUGGGGGUGGGGCCCACAGUCUGUGUUUACUAAGCCUUCCAGGUGAUUCUGAUGCACACUCAGGUGUGAAAACCUCUGCUGUAGAGCACGCUUAUGUGAGUGUGUUCAUGCACCACAUUCUGGGCAUUUUCAAGAAUAGGUAUUCAUUCUCAGACAUAUGCUCCCUGCUACUGCUUCCUAUGUAGGGAUGCAUUCAUUUUCCUAGUCAAACUGGAACAAUGUCAUAUGUGUCUGAAAAUCCCUUAAACUUUGCUUCCCAAGGGUCGGUUCAAGACGAGAAGCAUCUGUAUCUCCUGCGGGCUUGUAAAGAAGGCAGAAUCGUGGGCCCAUCCCAGAUCUACUUAAGCAGAAUCUUCAUUUUUGACAUGAUCCUUCCAGAAGCCACUGGGAUUCCUGGAGUGUUUUCGGAGCAGUGAGUACCACAGACUUUAGCAAGCACACUGGAUGAGAAUCCAACAGUGACCUUGCUUGAGGAAGAUGAACAACGCUUCAGACAGCAUGUCAAAUAGAUUCAAGUUUUAAGAAAUCAGGAAGAAACCAUCUUGGAAAACAAAUAUUGAAACUAGAACAAGACUGUAAAAUAAACAGGAAGGACUUAAAGUUUAUGAAAUAGAAAAAGAUAAUAUAAACGAUCAAUAUAACUAAAAGCUAGUCUUCAAAAGGACAGAGCCACAUUUCUGAGAAAGCUUCCUGACUGGAAUAAUAAAUUGUGCUUGAAAAACAUAGAAACAGAGGAGAGGGCAAGGUUACUGCUGAAAUGGAAAACUAAGUGACACAUGGCUUGAAAACUCUCAGAAUCACUGGCAUUCCCUGGUCAAGUUGAGUGGAACAAAUCACUCCCCAAACAAAAUGAAGUUUUGACUCUAUAGAGCCAAUGGAUGUGGACCCUGGACUUAGAAAGAGAUUUGUAAACAAACCAGAGAACACCGAAGAGCUGCUCCUUCGCACUGAAAUGGUUUGCUGGCUUUCUGCCUAGAUCCGACAUCUCUUCAAAUGGACAGUCCCAACUCUCCUUCUCUCACUUCUCUUCCCCCUUCUCUGUAAGUCACAAAUGCUGCAUUUGGAGGAACUUCAUUUUAACUAGGAUAAACAUCACAUAAUAAAUGAUGCAUUUUUUCUCAUAAAGCAAACCAUUUAUCAAUGUUUUUAGUAAUUGUUUGUGUUGGAGCCCUUGGUGGAAGUCUUAUGAUCUAUAGUGUCCAUUGAGGCUUCCAUUUAAAGGGGGGCAGAGACAAUGCCAAAGUUGAUACAAGGGAUGAUGGGGAGAUAAGCUCUCGAGGCCUAUAUAUUAUCCGCCCGCAGUGUUGGGAGGGCCACAGGAAGGAUGGUGAUUAUUCUAUUUGGCAAGCCAAUUGUCUGUCUUUGGAAAAUGAUAGGAUGAAGAGUGGAGUCAAAAAUAAUACCUUUCUCGAUGCCCAGAUAUAAAUGAGCUAUUUACAAUCCCUCCUGCCUUUUAGGUUUGGGUUUUAUUUUUCCUCUGCACAAUAGAUUAAACCUUCAAGGAGGUUUGUAGUAAAAGAGGAGGAAACUAUGAAAAACACCACAUACUUGCAGACACCUGCAAGCA